CUGGCGGCGUGCCUAAUACAUGCAAGUCGAACGCACUCUCGUUUAGAUUGAAGGAGCUUGCUCCUGAUUGAUAAACAUUUGAGUGAGUGGCGGACGGGUGAGUAACACGUGGGUAACCUGCCCUAAAGUGGGGGAUAACAUUUGGAAACAGAUGCUAAUACCGCAUAAAACCUAACACCGCAUGGUGUAGGGUUGAAAGAUGGUUUCGGCUAUCACUUUAGGAUGGACCCGCGGUGCAUUAGUUAGUUGGUGAGGUAAAGGCUCACCAAGACCGUGAUGCAUAGCCGACCUGAGAGGGUAAUCGGCCACACUGGGACUGAGACACGGCCCAGACUCCUACGGGAGGCAGCAGUAGGGAAUCUUCCACAAUGGACGAAAGUCUGAUGGAGCAACGCCGCGUGAGUGAAGAAGGUUUUCGGAUCAUAAAACUCUGUUGUUGGAGAAGAAUGUAUCUGAUAGUAACUGAUCAGGUAGUGACGGUAUCCAACCAGAAAGCCACGGCUAACUACGUG
rnacentral:rRNA from 1 species